rnacentral:rRNA from 1 species
CUACGUGCCAGCAGCCGCGGUAAUACGUAGGGGGCAAGCGUUAUCCGGAUUUACUGGGUGUAAAGGGAGCGUAGACGGAGUGGCAAGUCUGAAGUGAAAACCCUGGGCUUAACCUGGGGACUGCUUUGGAAACUGUUAAUCUAGAGUGUUGGAGAGGUAAGUGGAAUUCCUGGUGUAGCGGUGAAAUGCGUAGAUAUCAGGAAGAACACCGGAGGCGAAGGCGGCUUACUGGACAAUAACUGACGUUGAGGCUCGAAAGCGUGGGGAUCAAACAGGAUUAGAUACCCUGGUAGUCCACGCUGUAAACGAUGAAUACUAGGUGUCGGGGAGCAAAGCUUCUCGGUGCCGUCGCAAACGCAAUAAGUAUUCCACCUGGGGAGUACGUUCGCAAGAAUGAAACUCAAAGGAAUUGACGGGGACCCGCACAAGCGGUGGAGCAUGUGGUUUAAUUCGAUGCAACGCGAAGAACCUUACCUACUCUUGACAUCCAGAGAACAUUC